rnacentral:rRNA from 1 species
UGCCAGCCGCCGCGGUAAUACGUAUGGGGCGAGCGUUGUCCGGAAUUAUUGGGCGUAAAGGGUACGUAGGCGGUUUUUUAAGUCAGGUGUCAAAGCGUGGAGCUUAACUCCAUUAAGCACUUGAAACUGAAAGACUUGAGUGAAGGAGAGGAAAGUGGAAUUCCUAGUGUAGCGGUGAAAUGCGUAGAUAUUAGGAGGAAUACCGGUGGCGAAGGCGACUUUCUGGACUUUUACUGACGCUCAGGUACGAAAGCGUGGGGAGCAAACAGGAUUAGAUA